rnacentral:miRNA from 16 species
CAUCUUACCUGGCAGGUUUAGA